UAAUCUAUUUGACUAUAGAAAAUUGUUGUUCACCUACAGAUAUUACUGGCAUACUUUAAACAGGGCUAACAAAUCUAGGGUAUCAGGGAUUCUUUUCAGCUCUAGACUCAAAGAAAACCAUAACACUACCAAAUAUUUUUCAUGGACCUAUUCACAGCCAGUACCCAGAUGACACUGAAAUUUUGCAUUCUACUAUAUAAAGUUAGUACUAGGUACAAAGGUAUUAUUUUAAACACUGGGGAAGAAAAUAUCUUCUAUCUAAAAUUUUAAGCUUCAGAUUUUUUGGAAGAGUGAAAUUCUAUGGAUGAUAUCUUUAACAAAAAUUAAACUGUAUUCAUUAUUAAAGGAAUGUUUGUACAGGCAGCUGAAAGACUGGCAGUGCCAGGAUCUAAAUUUUCUGUCCAUUAGCCAGAUAAGGUUAAUGUAGUCAUAAUGUUUUGUUGAAUAUUUUAAUCCCAACCUGAGAAAUCACAUCAUCUAUCGGAAAGAAUCAAUUUUUAUAUUAGCUUAACUAUUGGCCUCGCUGGAGAAGAGCCUGCCAAAUUGUAACUGUAAUGAACCAGUUUCCAAAUGAACCAAUUUGUGAUAUGGACCAUAUACAAGUCUUAGUGGAACUAUGAUUUGCCAAUAAAUUCCAAAGCUUGCUUGA